rnacentral:rRNA from 1 species
CCUACGGGAGGCAGCAGUGGGGGAUAUUGCACAAUGGGGGAAACCCUGAUGCAGCGACGCCGCGUGUGGGAAGACGGUCCUCUGGAUUGUAAACCACUGUCCCCAGGGACGAAGAUGACGGUACCGGGGGAGGAAGCUCCGGCUAACUACGUGCCAGCAGCCGCGGUAAUACGUAGGGAGCAAGCGUUGUCCGGAAUCACUGGUGGUAAGGGGAGCGUAGGCGGGAUGGCAAGUUGGGUGUUAAAUCUACCGGCUCAACUGGUAGUCGCACUCAAAACUGCUAUUCUUGAGUGAAGUAGAGGCAGGCGGAAUGCCUAGUGUAGCGGUGAAAUGCGUAGAUAUUAGGAGGAACACCAGUGGCGAAGGCGGCCUGCUGAGCUUUUACUGACGCUGAGGCUCGAAAGUGUGGGGAGCAAACAGGAUUAGAUACCCCUGUAGUC